GAUGAACGCUGGCGGCGUGCCUAAUACAUGCAAGUCGAGCGAACAGACGAGGAGCUUGCUCCUCUGACGUUAGCGGCGGACGGGUGAGUAACACGUGGAUAACCUACCUAUAAGACUGGGAUAACUUCGGGAAACCGGAGCUAAUACCGGAUAAUAUAUUGAACCGCAUGGUUCAAUAGUGAAAGACGGUUUUGCUGUCACUUAUAGAUGGAUCCGCGCCGCAUUAGCUAGUUGGUAAGGUAACGGCUUACCAAGGCAACGAUGCGUAGCCGACCUGAGAGGGUGAUGGGCCACACUGGAACUGAGACACGGUCCAGACUCCUACGGGAGGCAGCAGUAGGGAAUCUUCCGCGAUGGGCGAAAGCCUGACGGAGCAACGCCGCGUGAGUGAUGAAGGUCUUCGGAUCGUAAAACUCUGUUAUUAGGGAAGAACAAAUGUGUAAGUAACUAUGCACGUCUUGACGGUACCUAAUCAGAAAGCCACGGCUAACUACGUG
rnacentral:rRNA from 1 species